rnacentral:piRNA from 1 species
UAUGAAGUUCCCUCCAUAGCUACAGGCAA